UUUAUGGAGAGUUUGAUCCUGGCUCAGGAUGAACGCUGGCGGCGUGCCUAAUACAUGCAAGUCGAGCGAACGGACGAGAAGCUUGCUUCUCUGAUGUUAGCGGCGGACGGGUGAGUAACACGUGGAUAACCUACCUAUAAGACUGGGAUAACUUCGGGAAACCGGAGCUAAUACCGGAUAAUAUUUUGAACCGCAUGGUUCAAAAGUGAAAGACGGUCUUACUGUCACUUAUAGAUGGAUCCGCGCUGCAUUAGCUAGUUGGUAAGGUAACGGCUUACCAAGGCAACGAUGCAUAGCCGACCUGAGAGGGUGAUCGGCCACACUGGAACUGAGACACGGUCCAGACUCCUACGGGAGGCAGCAGUAGGGAAUCUUCCGCAAUGGGCGAAAGCCUGACGGAGCAACGCCGCGUGAGUGAUGAAGGUCUUCGGAUCGUAAAACUCUGUUAUUAGGGAAGAACAUAUGUGUAAGUAACUGUGCACAUCUUGACGGUACCUAAUCAGAAAGCCACGGCUAACUACGUGCCAGCAGCCGCGGUAAUACGUAGGUGGCAAGCGUUAUCCGGAAUUAUUGGGCGUAAAGCGCGCGUAGGCGGUUUUUUAAGUCUGAUGUGAAAGCCCACGGCUCAACCGUGGAGGGUCAUUGGAAACUGGAAAACUUGAGUGCAGAAGAGGAAAGUGGAAUUCCAUGUGUAGCGGUGAAAUGCGCAGAGAUAUGGAGGAACACCAGUGGCGAAGGCGACUUUCUGGUCUGUAACUGACGCUGAUGUGCGAAAGCGUGGGGAUCAAACAGGAUUAGAUACCCUGGUAGUCCACGCCGUAAACGAUGAGUGCUAAGUGUUAGGGGGUUUCCGCCCCUUAGUCCUGCAGCUAACGCAUUAAGCACUCCGCCUGGGGAGUACGACCGCAAGGUUGAAACUCAAAGGAAUUGACGGGGACCCGCACAAGCGGUGGAGCAUGUGGUUUAAUUCGAAGCAACGCGAAGAACCUUACCAAAUCUUGACAUCCUUUGACAACUCUAGAGAUAGAGCUUUCCCCUUCGGGGGACAAAGUGACAGGUGGUGCAUGGUUGUCGUCAGCUCGUGUCGUGAGAUGUUGGGUUAAGUCCCGCAACGAGCGCAACCCUUAAGCUUAGUUGCCAUCAUUAAGUUGGGCACUCUAAGUUGACUGCCGGUGACAAACCGGAGGAAGGUGGGGAUGACGUCAAAUCAUCAUGCCCCUUAUGAUUUGGGCUACACACGUGCUACAAUGGACAAUACAAAGGGCAGCGAAACCGCGAGGUCAAGCAAAUCCCAUAAAGUUGUUCUCAGUUCGGAUUGUAGUCUGCAACUCGACUACAUGAAGCUGGAAUCGCUAGUAAUCGUAGAUCAGCAUGCUACGGUGAAUACGUUCCCGGGUCUUGUACACACCGCCCGUCACACCACGAGAGUUUGUAACACCCGAAGCCGGUGGAGUAACCUUUUAGGAGCUAGCCGUCGAAGGUGGGACAAAUGAUUGGGGUGAAGUCGUAACAAGGUAGCCGUAUCGGAAGGUGCGGCUGGAUCACCUCCUUU
rnacentral:rRNA from 1 species